rnacentral:rRNA from 1 species
AGCGAGUCUGCCUUGAAGAUCGGAGUGCUUGCACUCUGUGAAACAAGAUACAGGCUAGCGGCGGACGGGUGAGUAACACGUGGGUAACCUGCCCAAGAGAUCGGGAUAACACCUGGAAACAGAUGCUAAUACCGGAUAACAACAGAUGAUGCCUAUCAACUGUUUAAAAGAUGGUUCUGCUAUCACUCUUGGAUGGACCUGCGGUGCAUUAGCUAGUUGGUAGGGUAACGGCCUACCAAGGCGAUGAUGCAUAGCCGAGUUGAGAGACUGAUCGGCCACAUUGGGACUGAGACACGGCCCAAACUCCUACGGGAGGCAGCAGUAGGGAAUCUUCCACAAUGGACGCAAGUCUGAUGGAGCAACGCCGCGUGAGUGAAGAAGGGUUUCGGCUCGUAAAGCUCUGUUGUUGGUGAAGAAGGACGGGGGUAGUAACUGACCUUUGUUUGACGGUAAUCAAUUAGAAAGUCACGGCUAACUACGUGCCAGCAGCCGCGGUAAUACGUAGGUGGCAAGCGUUGUCCGGAUUUAUUGGGCGUAAAGCGAGUGCAGGCGGUUCGAUAAGUCUGAUGUGAAAGCCUUCGGCUCAACCGGAGAAUUGCAUCAGAAACUGUCGAGCUUGAGUACAGAAGAGGAGAGUGGAACUCCAUGUGUAGCGGUGAAAUGCGUAGAUAUAUGGAAGAACACCGGUGGCGAAGGCGGCUCUCUGGUCUGUUACUGACGCUGAGGCUCGAAAGCAUGGGUAGCGAACAGGAUUAGAUACCCUGGUAGUCCAUGCCGUAAACGAUG